rnacentral:rRNA from 1 species
GAUGAACGCUAGCUACAGGCUUAACACAUGCAAGUCGAGGGGAAACGACAUCGAAAGCUUGCUUUUGAUGGGCGUCGACCGGCGCACGGGUGAGUAACGCGUAUCCAACCUGCCCAUCACUUGGGAAUAACCUUGCGAAAGUAAGACUAAUACCCAAUGAUAUCCCACGAAGGCAUCGGAAUGGGAUUAAAGAUUUAUCGGUGAUGGAUGGGGAUGCGUCUGAUUAGCUUGUUGGCGGGGUAACGGCCCACCAAGGCAACGAUCAGUAGGGGUUCUGAGAGGAAGGUCCCCCACAUUGGAACUGAGACACGGUCCAAACGCCUACGGGAGGCAGCAGUGAGGAAUAUUGGUCAAUGGGCGAGAGCCUGAACCAGCCAAGUAGCGUGCAGGAAGACGGCCCUAUGGGUUGUAAACUGCUUUUAGAAGGGAAUAAAGUGGGUCACGUGUGACUUUUUGCAUGUACCUUAUGAAUAAGGACCGGCUAAUUCCGUG